UACGAAGGGGGGCUAGCGUUGCUCGGAUUGACUGGGCGUAAAGGGCGCGUAGGCGGAUGGCACAGUCAGAUGUGAAAUUCCCGGGCUUAACCUGGGGGCUGCAUUUGAUACGUGUGAUCUAGAGUGAGGAAGAGGGUCGUGGAAUUCCCAGUGUAGAGGUGAAAUUCGUAGAUAUUGGGAAGAACACCGGGUGGCGAAGGCGGCGACCUGGUCCUUGACUGACGCUGAGGCGCGAAAGCGUGGGGGAGCAAACAGG
rnacentral:rRNA from 1 species